rnacentral:rRNA from 1 species
GACGAACGCUGGCGGCGUGCUUAACACAUGCAAGUCGAACGGGCCUGUCUUCUUUUUUGGGGGUGGGUUGAGUGGCGAACGGGUGAGUAUCACGUGAGUAACCUGCCCUUCGGUCCUGGAUAACCGCUUGAAAGGGCGGCUAAUACGGGGUGGUCCGGUUGGUCCGCAUGGGCUGGCCGGGAUAGAUUCACUGUUUUUGGUGUUUCGGCGGGGGAUGGGCUCGCGGCCUAUCAGCUUGUUGGUGGGGUGAUGGCCUACCAAGGCGGUGACGGGUAGCCGGCCUGAGAGGGUGGGCGGCCACACUGGGACUGAGAUACGGCCCAGACUCCUGCGGGAGGCAGCAGUGGGGGGUAUUGCACAAUGGGCGGAAGCCUGAUGCAGCGACGUCGCGUGAGGGAUGGAGGCCUUCGGGUUGUGAACCUCUGUUUCCGGUGGUGAAGGCCCUGUCCGUGUGGUGGGGUUGACGGUAGCCGGGGAUGAAGCGCCGGCUAACUACGUG